rnacentral:rRNA from 1 species
AAGGGCGAUAAGUAAUGUGAAUUGCAGAAUUCAGUGAAUCAUCGAAUCUUUGAACGCACCUUGCGCUCUCUGGUAUUCCGGGGAGCACACCUGUUCGAGUGUCAUUAAGACUCUCAAAUAAAGGUAGCUUUGCAGCUAUCUCUGUUUGGAUUUGGGCUUUGCUGCAUUAAUGUGGCUAGUCUUAAAUGUAUUAGCUGAUCCUCAUUGAGGGUUUGGUUCUACUCAGCGUGAUAAUUAUUUAACGUUGAGGACAGUCUUUAGAACUGGCCAUAGCCUCUAUCUGGAUUGCUUCUAAACUGUCUUGAGGACAAUUGCUUAAUUUCUGACCUCGAAUCAGGUGGGACUACCCGCUGAACUUAA